rnacentral:rRNA from 1 species
AUUGAACGCUGGCGGCAGGCCUAACACAUGCAAGUCGAACGAGUGGCGGACGGGUGAGAAAUGUAUGGGAAACUCCCUUAUGGAGGGGGAUAACUACUGGAAACGGUAGCUAAUACCGCAUACCAUACGAUGAGCCCGAAUGGGAUUAGCUAGUAGGUGGGGUAAAGGCUCACCUAGGCGACGAUCCCUAGCUGGUCUGAGAGGAUGACCAGCCACACUGGAACUGAGACACGGUCCAGACUCCUACGGGAGGCAGCAGUGGGGAAUAUUGCACAAUGGGCGCAAGCCUGAUGCAGCCAUGCCGCGUGUAUGAAGAAGGCCUUCGGGUUGUAAAGUACUUUCAGCAGGGAGGCGUUACCCACAGAAGAAGCACCGGCUAACUCCGUGCCAGCAGCCGCGGUAAUAC